rnacentral:rRNA from 1 species
UACGUAGGGGGCUAGCGUUAUCCGGAAUCACUGGGCGUAAAGCGUUCCGAUAGGUGGUUUGGUAAGUUCUUCGUGAAAGCCUGGAGCUCAACUCCAGAAUUGCGAAGAAAACUAUCAGACUAGAAGGGUAAAGAGGGAGCUGGAACUUUGGGUGUAGCGGUGAAAUGCGUUGAUAUCCAAAGGAACACUAAAAGCGAAGGCAGGCUCCUGGGUACCUCUUGACACUGCUAGGACGAAAGCGUGGGUAGCGAAUGGG